CUUUAAAACUUUUUGUUUAAUAUGUGCAUUAUAUUUGCAGUUAUUUCUUGGAACAAGCAAAAUUGGCGGCUGUUUCAAGUUCUUGUCGGUUGCGAAAACAAAUCAAAAAUUCUUAAUACUAUAAAAUAUUUUUAACAAGUUCCAGAAUUAAUUGAAUAAAGUUGAACAUAUAUUCGAACUGAAGUCAUGAAACACGUAUCAAGUAUCACGAAUCACGAAUCAUGAAUCACGAAACACGAAUUUUUUGGAGGAAGAUACAUACCAGCCUUAAAACCAAAUCCAAUUGAAAAAACACAAGCCGCUAAAAAAACGAUCCGACCACCGACUCGUCUCUUGCAAAAGUAACCAAUGAACAAGAAAACUUGUGUCGUUCUUUCAAAAUUAAUAUAAAUACAUUUGGCAGCCCAUACUCAAAUUUGCGUGAUGUAACUAUAUUAAUUUGGUUUAGACUUUUUGGACACAAAUGAAUUUCACAAGGGGAUAAAUCGGAUUAGCACACUAUUUAAUAGUUAUUUCUUGGAACAAGCAAAAUUGGCGGCUGUUUCAAGUUCUUGUCGGUUGCGAAAACAAAUCAAAAAUUCUUAAUACUAUAAAAUAUUUUUAACAAGUUCCAGAAUUAAUUGAAAAAAGUUGAACAUAUAUUCGAACUGAAGUCAUGAAACACGUAUCAAGUAUCACGAAUCACGAAUCAUGAAUCACGAAACACGAAUUUUUUGGAGGAAGAUACAUACCAGCCUUAAAACCAAAUCCAAUUGAAAAAACACAAGCCGCUAAAAAAACGAUCCGACCACCGACUCGUCUCUUGCAAAAGUAACCAAUGAACAAGAAAACUUGUGUCGUUCUUUCAAAAUUAAUAUAAAUACAUUUGGCAGCCCAUACUCAAAUUUGCGUGAUGUAACUAUAUUAAUUUGGUUUAGACUUUUUGGACACAAAUGAAUUUCACAAGGGGAUAAAUCGGAUUAGCACACUAUUUAAUAGUUAUUUCUUGGAACAAGCAAAAUUGGCGGCUGUUUCAAGUUCUUGUCGGUUGCGAAAACAAAUCAAAAAUUCUUAAUACUAUAAAAUAUUUUUAACAAGUUCCAGAAUUAAUUGAAAAAAGUUGAACAUAUAUUCGAACUGAAGUCAUGAAACACGUAUCAAGUAUCACGAAUCACGAAUCAUGAAUCACGAAACACGAAUUUUUUGGAGGAAGAUACAUACCAGCCUUAAAACCAAAUCCAAUUGAAAAAACACAAGCCGCUAAAAAAACGAUCCGACCACCGACUCGUCUCUUGCAAAACCCAUACUCAAAUUUGCGUGAUGUAACUAUAUUAAUUUGGUUUAGACUUUUUGGACACAAAUGAAUUUCACAAGGGGAUAAAUCGGAUUAGCA